GACGAACGCUGGCGGCGUGCUUAACACAUGCAAGUCGAACGGAAAGGCCCUGCUUUUGUGGGGUGCUCGAGUGGCGAACGGGUGAGUAACACGUGAGUAACCUGCCCUUGACUUUGGGAUAACUUCAGGAAACUGGGGCUAAUACCGGAUAGGAGCUCCUGCUGCAUGGUGGGGGUUGGAAAGUUUCGGCGGUUGGGGAUGGACUCGCGGCUUAUCAGCUUGUUGGUGGGGUAGUGGCUUACCAAGGCUUUGACGGGUAGCCGGCCUGAGAGGGUGACCGGCCACAUUAGGCCUGAGAUACGGCCCAGACUCCUACAGGAGGCAGAAGUGGGGAAUAUUGCACAAUGGGAGGAAGCCUGAUGCAGCAACGCCGCGUGCGGGAUGACGGCCUUCGGGUUGUAGACCGCUUUCGCCUGUGACGAAGCGUGAGUGACGGUAAUGGGUAAAGAAGCACCGGCUAACUACGUG
rnacentral:rRNA from 1 species